UACGGGAAGGGCAAGCGUUAUCCGGCGUGACUGGGCGUAAAGGGUGUGUAGGCGGUUUUUUAAGUUUGGUGUGAAAUCUCCCGGCUCAACCGGGAGGGUGCGCCGAAAACUGGGAGACUAGAGUGCGGGAUGGGAGAGUAGAAUUCCUGGUGUAGCGGUGAAAUGCGUAGAUAUCAGGAGGAAUACCGGUGGUGUAGACGGCUCUCUGGACCGCCACUGACGCUGAGACACGAAAGCGUGGGUAGCAAACAGG
rnacentral:rRNA from 1 species